CACGGGCAUCCUCGCUGUGGUUUGUUGCUCUCAACUACUGUGAUGUGGUCCAUAUUGCUGGUUUUGGAUACCCCACCUCAAACAGCCAAAAGCAACCUAUCCAUUACUACGGCUAUGACACAAUAAAAUCUAUGAAGAAUUCCUACCAUGACAUCAAACAUGAAGCCGAAGCCUUAAGAAGACUGGAGGAUUCAGGAGCCAUUUUGUACCUGCAUCCACAUUUAUGAUGCGCACAUUUCCAGUUCAAUUAAUCCAGUAAAUGAUUGUACGCCAAAUCUUAUUUGAAUUUGGUCUGGAUCAUCCGAUCCAGAUCAGAUCUUAAUGUGCCUUCUGCAGUGACACACAGGAUACAAGACAUGUCGCUGGUGCAUUAAGUCAUCAUUUGGUGACAUGGAUGCUCUGAAGAAUGUGGAUCUCCCUGGCACCUUGAAUUUUGUUAAAGUGACAGACAUAAAAGUGAUUUAACAGCUUUUUAAAAACAGCCUAUGUUCUAUUUGUCAUGUAGUAAACUUGAACAAUGUUGCUCAGCAUUUUUCAUAAUGUUUAAAGGUGUGUAACUUUUAUGGGUUUUGAAUCAUGACUUUCAAAUUUAGUUCUGUUACUCAUGUGGCGACCGAGUUGUCUGUUUGUGAUAAUCCAGCGAACAAAUUUCAUCCGAUUUUUGAUAAUGCCAAUGUGUUGAUGUUGCUUUUAGGGCCAUCUGAUAGUGUGGGCUUACAACUGUCACACCAUAGGAAUCAAGCAUUUCAGAUCUAUAGCUCACUUUUGUUUUUGUCCAGAGAUUACAUGCAUAUCAUUGAGCUGUAAAACUAAUUGAUCAGCCUUGAUAAUUUCCUUCUGUAAACACUCAUCAAAUUUUGAGAUUCAUUUUUAUGCUUUACAAGUGUGAAUAUUAUUACUGAACUAAAAAUCUCUUUACGUUGUAGAGGUUUGUUGGAAUCAAUGGGUAUUUUUGUGAACUUCAGUGUAAUUUUGUGAUCAAAGGAACAUGAAUUAAUUCCAUACCUGAUCAACGCAGUUAGCUGGAUGAAUUUCACUUUACUUUUAGAUUUCUUGGACUAUAAGUACUACUUGUAUUUUAUUCAAUCUCACAUCAGUUGUUUUUUAAUUUAUUUAAUCUUUUUUGUGGUAUUGGUGCUGCUGGACAUUUUUAUUGUACAGAAUGAAAUACAUUUUUAAUUAAGAGGAAUUUUAUUUGAUUCUCAUUUAACAUUAUGUUCACAUGCAUUAUCAAACAGGCUCAUGUAUCUACUGUAUGGAAAUCACUAUAUGACCUGAGUGAACCUGCA